AUAUAUGGGAAAGAUGGAACAUUUUAAUACAGGCAUAUGAUGAGUAAUAAUUACAUCAGGGUAAAUGGUGUAUCUAUCACCUCAAGCAUUUAUCAUUUCUUUGUGCUACAAACA